AUUAUACUCCCUCCGUCCGAAAAUACUUGUCAUCAAAAUGGACAAAAAGGGAUGUAUCUAAAACUAAAAUACAUCUAGAUACAUCCUUUUUAUCCAUUUUGAUGACAAGUAUUUCCGGACGGAGGGAGUAUAUA
rnacentral:pre_miRNA from 1 species